rnacentral:rRNA from 1 species
UACGGAGGGUGCGAGCGUUAUUCGGAAUCACUGGGCGUAAAGCGUACGUAGGCGGCUUGUUAAGCAAGAUGUGAAAUCCCCGGGCUCAACCUGGGAAUGGCAUUUUGAACUGGCAGGCUCGAGUUCUGAAGAGGGUGGUAGAAUUUCCAGUGUAGCGGUGAAAUGCGUAGAUAUUGGAAGGAAUACCGGUGGCGAAGGCGGCCACCUGGUCAGAAACUGACGCUGAGGUACGAAAGCGUAGGGAGCAAACAGG